AGUGGAUGGGGAGCAACCUAGUUGUGCGUGUGUAAAGGUAGUGCCAAGAAAAGCGGUGAUCAUGAUGAAAAUCAAUUCCCGGUACCCGAAACCGACACAGGUGGGCAAGUAGAGAAUACUAAGGGGCGCGAGGUAACUCUCUCCAAGGAACUCGGCAAAAUGACCCCGUAACUUAGGGAGAAGGGGUGCCACCGAGAGGUGGUCGCAGUGAAGAGGCCCAGGCGACUGUUUAGCAAAAACAUAGGUCUCUGCAAACUCGAAAGAGGAGGUAUAGGGGCUGACGCCUGCCCAGUGCCGGAAGGUUAAAGAAGUUGGUCAGUCUUAGGAUAAAGCUAGCGACUGAAGCCCCGGUGAACGGCGGCCGUAACUAUAACGGUCCUAAGGUAGCGAAAUUCCUUGUCGGGUAAGUUCCGACCCGCACGAAAGGCGUAACGAUCUGGGCGCUGUCUCGGAGAGAGGCUCGGCGAAAUAGGAUUGUCUGUGAAGAUACGGACUACCUGCAUUUGGACAGAAAGACCCUAUGAAGCUUUACUAUAGCUUGGAAUUGUGUUCGGGCUUCCUGUGCGCAGGAUAGGUGGGAGGCGAAGAAGGUAUUCUUGUGGGGAUACUGGAGCCAACUGUGAUACCACUCUCAGGAGGCUAGAAUUCUAACUUAAUUAAGGACAGUUUCAGGUGGGUAGUUUGACUGGGGCGGUCGCCUCCAAAAAGGUAACGGAGGCGUACAAAGGUUCCCUCAGACUGGUUGGAAAUCAGUCGCAGAGUGCAAAGGCAGAAGGGAGCUUGACUGCGAGAAGUACAGUUCGAGCAGGGUGGAAACACGGUCUUAGUGAUCCGACGGUGCUGUGUGGAAGGGCCGUCGCUCAACGGAUAAAAGUUACUCUAAGGAUAACAGGCUGAUCUCCCCCAAGAGUUCACAUCGACGGGGAGGUUUGGCACCUCGAUGUCGGCUCAUCGCAACCUGGGGCGGAAGUACGUCCCAAGGGUUGGGCUGUUCGCCCAUUAAAGCGGUACGUGAGCUGGGUUCAGAACGUCGUGAGACAGUUCGGUCCAUAUCCGAUGUAGGCGUGAGAAUAUUGAGAGGAGCCUUCCUUAGUACGAGAGGACCGGGAAGGACGCACCGCUGGUGUACCUGUUAUGAUGCCAAUUGUAAACGCAGGGUAGCCAAGUGCGGAGAGGAUAACCGCUGAAAGCAUCUAAGUGGGAAGCCCACCUCAAGAUGAGUAUUCUGGUGUAAGGUCACGGGAAGACGACCCGUAAAUAGGCACGAGGUGGAAGUGCAGAGAUGUAUGAAGCCGAAGUGUACUAAUAGACCGUCGGC
rnacentral:rRNA from 1 species